rnacentral:rRNA from 1 species
AUCGAUGAAGAACGCAGCGAAAUGCGAUAAGUAAUGUGAAUUGCAGAAUUCAGUGAAUCAUCGAAUCUUUGAACGCACCUUGCGCUCCUUGGUAUUCCGAGGAGCAUGCCUGUUUGAGUGUCAUUAAAUUCUCAACCUUAUUAGCUUUGGCUUGAUAAUGGUUUGGAUUUGGGGGUCUUUUGCUGGCUUUCACAAGUCAGCUCCCCUUAAAUGUAUUAGCUGGUGCCCUCUGGUUAACCAUCUAUUGGUGUGAUAAUUAUCUACGCCGUGGAUGUUAGCCGCUUUGUAGGUGCACUGCUUCUAACCGUCUGUUCAUUCGGACAAAUAUAUGACAUUUUGACCUCAAAUCAGGUAGGAUUACCCGCUGAACUUAAGCAUAUCAAUAAGCGGAGGAAAAGAAACUAACAAGGAUUCCCCUAGUAACUGCGAGUGAAGCGGGAAAAGCUCAAAUUUAAAAUCUGGCGGUCUCUGGCCGUCCGAGUUGUAAUCUAGAGAAGUGUUAUCCGUGCUGGACCGUGUACAAGUCUCCUGGAAUGGAGCGUCAUAGAGGGUGAGAAUCCCGUCUUUGACACGGACUGCCAGUGCUUUGUGAUGCGCUCUCAAAGAGUCGAGUUGUUUGGGAAUGCAGCUCAAAAUGGGUGGUAAAUUCCAUCUAAAGCUAAAUAUUGGCGAGAGACCGAUAGCGAACAAGUACCGUGAGGGAAAGAUGAAAAGAACUUUGGAAAGAGAGUUAAACAGUACGUGAAAUUGUUGAAAGGGAAACGCUUGAAGUCAGUCGCGUUAGUUGGGGAUCAACCUUGCUUUUGCUGGGUGUACUUUCCAAUUGACGGGUCAGCAUCAAUUUUGACCGUUGGAUAAAGUCUAGGGGAAUGUGGCAUCUUCGGAUGUGUUAUAGCCCUUGGUCGCAUACAACGAUUGGGAUUGAGGAACUCAGCACGCCGCAAGGCCGAGAAUUUAUUCUACGUUCGUGCUUAGGAUGCUGGCAUAAUGGCUUUAAUCGACCCGUCUUGAAACACGG